UCUGCCACGGCCACUGGGCUGAGGGCGGCUCCGUCUUCGUCGUGGCCUCCCCCCAUGACCGCCCCAGCCACCGCCUCUGCCUCACCGCGACCUCCAUCACCAACAACAACAGCAACAACAACAACAACGGCAAGAACAACAGCAGCAGCAAGACGCUCCAGGUCACGGCGCAUGCGCACUCCUGCCCGCGGCGGCACGUGCCUCCCACCACGUCUCUGAGUCUGAACCUGACUGCGCAAGGUGAAUGCACUGUGGCAAGCAGCAGCAGCCGUCUCUCUCCCGCCCAACUGUUGCUCUCCAUUCUCGCUGUUCUGUGCUACGUCGUACGUCUGGAAGGCGCGGGCUGCUGCAGCGAAGCGAAGGGUUCCAGAUGAAGUUCUUGUACGGCAUCCGCAGACGAGGGUCUUUCAACCUCUCCCACUGUAAUCUAAGAGAAUCAUUUGUAUCCAAAAGUUUUUUUUUCUCUUAUUUAUAUAUAUAUGAAAGAAAUCUUUGUUAUCAUGAUUGGAGGACCACUGAUAGUCUUAUUUUAAGCUUAAAAAAAGUAUAUAUGUGGAUGUACUGGUACGAGAAGAGAGAGUAGCCCCUAUUACGCCACAGCAUGUUAGUCGUCGCACCGUCAUAAUGAGGAAUAGUCUGUGACUAUUUUUAUUCAAGAAUUUUAUAUGUAUUGCAUAAUGAUAUAUAUUCUUUUAAAUGUUCCUGACUAACUCGAAAGCAGUUGAGGUAUAUUUUGAUAACCAUAGGUAGAUAGCACAACCGUACAGAUCCGGUAGACGGAGAGGAUAAAGCGCGAGAGAGGGAAAAAAGAGAGAACGAGAGAGAGAAUAAGCUAACAGAGGGUUUUGUAUGAUGCCUAUACGUCCUACAUUUAUAGAAGCACAUGAACAAUAAUAAAAAAGCAGAUGCAUUUGUACACCUAGUCAAGGGAGGUCAGGAGCUGGCCGAGUCCUCUUUAAAAAAAAAG